AGAGCGCAGAGUGAAUGCCUUGGCAUUGAGAGCCGAAGAAGGACGUGGUUAACUGCGAUAAGCAGCGGGGAGUUGUAAGCAAGCAUUGAUCCGCUGAUUUCCGAAUGGAGCAAUCCGCAUGAAGUAGUUCAUGCAUCCAUAUGUGAAUCAAUAGCAUAUGGAGGGGAACCGCCUGAACUGAAACAUCUAAGUAGGGCGAGGAAGAGAAAUCAACCGAGAUUCCGUAAGUAGUGGCGAGCGAACGCGGAAGAGGCCAAACCGAGAGAAGAAAUUCUUUCGGGGUUCGGACUGCAUUUAGCAUUCCUGAUCUUUAGUCGAACAGUCUGGGAAGGCUGACGAGAGAGUGUGAGAGUCACGUAGACGAAAAGGAGAAGGAGCGAGCAGGAUCCAGAGUACCGCGGGGCACGUGAAAUCCCGUGGGAAGAUGGGGGGACCACCCUCCAAGCCUAAAUACUACUCAGUGACCGAUAGCGUAUAGUACUGUGAAGGAACGGUGAAAAGAACCCCGGGAGGGGAGUGAAAAGAACCUGAAACUCUGUGCUUACAAGCACAUAGAGCACGUCAAUGUGUGAUAUGGUACCUUUUGUAGAAUGGUCCGGCGAGUUAUGGUAUGCAGCAUGGUUAAGGACUUGAGGUCUGAAGCCGAAGCGAGAGCGAGUCUGACAAGGGCGAAAAGUUGUAUGCCAUAGACCCGAAACCGGGUGACCUAGCCAUGUCCAGGCUGAAGUGGAGGUAAAACUCCAUGGAGGGCCGAACCGACCUCCGUUGAAAAGGCGGCGGAUGAGAUGUGGCUAGCGGAGAAAUUCCAAUCGAACCCGGAUAUAGCUGGUUCUCCCCGAAAUAGCUUUAGGGCUAGCGUUGUAUUAGAUUACCGGAGGUAAAGCACUGAAUGGGCUAGGGGCUGAGAAGUUACUGAACCCUAUCAAACUAAGAAUGCCGGAUAAUUGAUGUACAGCAGUCAGACUAUGUGAGAUAAGUCUCAUAGUCAAAAGGGAAACAGCCCAGACCCACAGCUAAGGUCCCAAAAUGGAUUUAAGUGGAAAAGGAUGUGGAAUUGCACAGACAACCAGGAUGUUGGCUUAGAAGCAGCCACUCAUUAAAAGAGUGCGUAAUAGCUCACUGGUCGAGUGACUCUGCGCGGAAAAUAUAACGGGGCUAAGCAUGAAACCGAAGCUUGGGCUUGUACUUAGGUACAGGGGUAGGGGAGCGUCGAGUAUGGGGUGAAGUCAGAGCGGAAGCACUGGUGGACUGUACUGGAGUGAGAAUGCCGGAAUGAGUAGCGAGAAUUAUGUGGGAAUCAUAAUGGCCGAAAAUCUAAGGUUUCUUGGGGAAGGUUCGUCCGCCCAAGGUAAGUCGGGAGCUAAGCUCAGGCCGAGAGGCGUAGGCGAUGCACAUACGGUAGAAAUUCCGUAACCACCGAAACUUAAACAGAGGGACACUUCGAAAUAGCGGAACCCGGGCGUUGGUUGACCCGGGCGUAAGGGAGCGAAAUUAGAGUAGCGAAGUCCGCGAUGUUCGGAGGCGAGAAAAGCUCUGAGGUAUGCUAAGGUGCCCGUACCGCAAACCGACACAGGUAGAUGAGGAGAGAAUCCUAAGGCCAACGGGAGAAGGGUUGUUAAGGAACUCGGCAAAUUGACCCCGUAACUUCGGAAGAAGGGGAGCCCCCUACGGGGGGUCGCAGAGAAAUGGCCCAAGCAACUGUUUACCAAAAACACAGGUCUAUGCUAAAUCGAAAGAUGACGUAUAUGGGCUGACGCCUGCCCGGUGCCGGAAGGUUAAGAGGAGAUGUCAGGCAACGAAGCAUUGAAUUUAAGCCCCGGUAAACGGCGGCCGUAACUAUAACGGUCCUAAGGUAGCGAAAUUCCUUGUCAGGUAAGUUCUGACCCGCACGAAAGGCGUAAUGAUUUGGGCACUGUCUCAACAGCCCGCCCGGCGAAAUUGUAGUACUGGUGAAGAUGCCAGUUACCCGCAACUAGACGGAAAGACCCCAUGGAGCUUUACUGCAGCUUAAUACUGAAAUUCGGUAGUACAUGUACAGGAUAGGUGGGAGACUGAGAAAUACAGGCGUCAGCUUGUAUGGAGUCGCUGUUGGGAUACCACUCUUGUACUGCUGGGUUUCUAACCUGCGGCCGUGAAUCCGGUCGGGGGACACUGUUAGGCGGGCAGUUUGACUGGGGCGGUCGCCUCCCAAAAGGUAACGGAGGCGCUCAAAGGUUCGUUCAGCACGGACGGAAAUCGUGCAAUGAGUGUAAACGCAUAAACGAGCCUAACUGCGACACCGACGGGUGGAGCAGUAACGAAAGUUGGAGUUAGUGAUCCGGUGGUAUGUGAGUGGAAAUGCCAUCGCUCAACGGAUAAAAGCUACCCUGGGGAUAACAGGCUGAUCUCCCCCAAGCGUCCACAGCGACGGGGAGGUUUGGCACCUCGAUGUCGGCUCGUCACAUCCUGGGGCUGUAUUCGGUCCCAAGGGUUCGGCUGUUCGCCGAUUAAAGUGGCACGCGAGCUGGGUUCAGAACGUCGUGAGACAGUUCGGUCCCUAUCUGUUGCGGGCGUAAGAGAUUUGAAGGGAGCUGUCCUUAGUACGAGAGGACCGGGAUGGACGUACCUCUGGUGCACCAGUUGUCCUGCCAAGGGCAUAGCUGGGUAGCUAUGUACGGACGAGAUAAACGCUGAAAGCAUCUAAGCGUGAAACUCCCCCUAAGAUGAGAUCUCUCAUCCUUCA
rnacentral:rRNA from 1 species